rnacentral:rRNA from 2 species
CGAGUCGAGGGGAAAACGACAUCGAAAGCUUGCUUUUGAUGGGCGUCGACCGGCGCACGGGUGAGUAACGCGUAUCCAACCUGCCCACCACUUGGGGAUAACCUUGCGAAAGUAAGACUAAUACCCAAUGAUAUCUCUAGAAGACAUCUGAAGGAGAUUAAAGAUUUAUCGGUGAUGGAUGGGGAUGCGUCUGAUUAGCUUGUUGGCGGGGUAACGGCCCACCAAGGCGACGAUCAGUAGGGGUUCUGAGAGGAAGGUCCCCCACAUUGGAACUGAGACACGGUCCAAACUCCUACGGGAGGCAGCAGUGAGGAGUAUUGGUCAAUGGACGAGAGUCUGAACCAGCCAAGUAGCGUGCAGGAUGACGGCCCUAUGGGUUGUAAACUGCUUUUAUAAGGGAAUAAAGUGAGUCUCGUGAGACUUUUUGCAUGUACCUUAUGAAUAAGGACCGGCUAAUUCCGUGCCAGCAGCCGCGGUAAUACGGAAGGUCCGGGCGUUAUCCGGAUUUAUUGGGUUUAAAGGGAGCGUAGGCCGGAGAUUAAGCGUGUUGUGAAAUGUAGACGCUCAACGUCUGCACUGCAGCGCGAACUGGUUUCCUUGAGUACGCACAAAGUGGGCGGAAUUCGUGGUGUAGCGGUGAAAUGCUUAGAUAUCACGAAGAACUCCGAUUGCGAAGGCAGCUCACUGGAGCGCAACUGACGCUGAAGCUCGAAAGUGCGGGUAUCGAACAGGAUUAGAUACCCUGGUAGUCCGCACGGUAAACGAUGGAUGCCCGCUGUUGGUCUGAAUAGGUCAGCGGC